AGGGGAGCAAACAGGAUUAGAUACCCUGGUAGUCCUAGCCCUAAACGAUGAGCACUGGGUGUGGCGCUGUAUGGCGCCGUGCCGAAGCUAACGCAUUAAGUGCUCCGCCUGGGGAGUACGGUCGCAAGGCCGAAACUCAAAGGAAUUGACGGGGGCCCGCACAAGCGGUGGAGCAUGUGGUUCAAUUCGACGCAACGCGAAGAACCUUACCUGGACUCGAAAUGCAAUUGACCGUCUCAGAGAUGAGGCUUUCCCGCAAGGGACAGUUGUAUAGGUGCUGCAUGGCUGUCGUCAGCUCGUGUCGUGAGAUGUUGGGUUAAGUCCCGCAACGAGCGCAACCCUUACCCUUAGUUGCUCGCCCGCAAGGGAAGCACCCUAAGGGAACCGCCCCGGAUAACGGGGAGGAAGGUGGGGAUGACGUCAAGUCCUCAUGGCCUUUAUGCCCAGGGCUACACACGUGCUACAAUGGCCGGUACAAAGCGUCGCAAACCCGCGAGGGGAAGCCAAUCGCAAAAAACCGGCCUCAGUUCGGAUUGCAGUCUGCAACUCGACUGCAUGAAGCUGGAAUCGCUAGUAAUUGCGUAUCAGAACGACGCGGUGAAUACGUCCCCGGGCCUUGUACACACCGCCCGUCACAUCACGAAAGUGAGUUGUACUAGAAGUCGUCAUUCCAACCGCAAGGAGGAUAGCGCCCAAGGUAUGACUCAUGAUUGGGGUGAAGUCGUAACAAGGUAACCGUA
rnacentral:rRNA from 1 species